UGAGUUUUAGAUAAGUUUGCC
rnacentral:piRNA from 1 species